CCCUCUCUAUUCUGGAGAGAGACGUUAACCGGCUCCACCAUCAUCCCUGUUCCCAAGAAGCCCAGGAUCACAGGACUCAAUGACUACAGGCCCGUCGUCCUGACCUCUAUAGUCAUGAAAGGCUACAUGCUGCAAGGAAAAACACAGCGGAAAAAUACAGGCGAAUUCUGUAAGUUUUAAGGAGCUGGGAGAUAGACCACCGCGUGAGUCAAGACAAGGCAAGACAAACACGACGGCGCAAGAGGAUAAUAAAUCUGUUAUUGGCUCCUAAAACCAUUCCCUGACAAUGGCCGGCUGACAGCAGAACAACUGACCUACAACAAAAAAGUGUGCAGGGCUCGGGUGGUGGUGGAAAAUGCUUUUAAGAGACUCAAAGGAAGGUGGCGGUGCCUUAUGAAGAGGAAUGACAGCGACAUCGAAUUGGUGAAGUCCAUGGUGUUGACUUGUUGUGCUCUGCACAAUCUUUGUGAAAGGCAUCGAGAGGAUUACCAGCACGAAUGAGAUACACCUGUUGCUGCGGAGCCUGUGGUUACACAGGCACAGGGCGCAGAGGAGGAGGGCAGGGAUGUACGCGAGGGUCUAAUGCGUUAUGUGAACAGUUAAAUCUGUUGUACACCUAUAAAUGUGAAGUUUUGAUUUUAUUGAAAAUGAAUAAAUCCUUUUUACUUUUACCCUGCCUCUUCAUAUUU